GCAUUAAUGGGGUAGUGGUAACCUGGGUCGUUGCCAAAUUUAGGAACCACCAGUUUCGACCCGCCGGGGGUUCGAUUCCCUCUUAAUGCA
rnacentral:tRNA from 1 species